ensembl:misc_RNA 7SK 7SK RNA
GGAUGUGAGUGUGAGCUGACUGCAACAUUUGUCACCCCACUGAUCGCCAGGGUUGAUUCAACUGAUCUAGCUGGCUAGGUAGGUGCCCCCUUCCUCCCUUACCACUCCAUGUGCAUCCCUCCCAAAGUUUCACACUUGGUCAAAGAGGACAGCCUUCUCUGAAUAGAGAUGGACUAAUAUUCAGUUGAGGAUAUACAAAUAGCUUUAUUUCCAUGUUAGAACCUCCAAACAAGCUCUCAAGAAGUGAAGGAAUUGUAUACUGAAAACUAUGAGUUGCUAUUCAAGGAAAU